GGGCGCUUAGUGGAGUGGUUACCACGUUGGUCUUCGAUACUGUUCGGAUUCAAACCGUCAGAUUGUCGAACCAAAGUUCGUCAGUUCGAUCCUGGCAGUGCUCA